CCUGGUUUCAGGAGUGACGGGCGAUUUGUGCAUGCUUUAUUUCAUUUUCAGAUAAGAUUUUUAUUUCUUAAAUUAAUAUUAGGUUCUAUUUCCUUCUAUUUCUCAUAGGAAUUUCAAUUAAGUUUAUAUUUGUAUCACGCAACUUCUUUUUGUAUUUUCUCUGUCUUGAUUUGUUUUUCUACUCUUAGUUUUACAUUCGAAUUCAUUUCUUCUCUUUUAAAACAAUGAUAUAGAGGAUUAUAACAAAAGUAGAUUUUUAUCGUGGGUUAUCUAUUAAAGUGUAGGAUUCCCUAAUUUGAUGAAGCACCGCCAUGUUUCUUAGAUUUCUCUUAUUUAGAUACUAUCUUUUUAUAUUCUAGAA
rnacentral:rRNA from 1 species